UACUGUUUCACCCCUACCGUACCGCGUAAGAGUGUACUGUUUCACCCCUACUGUACCGCGGUAAGAGUGUACUGUUUCACCCCUACUGUACCGCGGUAAGAGCCGUUGUCACCCCUACUGUACCGUAAAGAGUGUACUGUUUCACCCCUACUGUACCGUGGUAAGAGUAGUGUUUCACCCCUACUGUACCGUGGUAAGAGUGUACUGUUUCACCCCUACUGUACCGUGGUAAGAGUGUACUGUUUCACCCCUACUGUACCGUGGUAAGAGUGUACUGUUUCACCCCUACUUUGGUGUAUUUUUGUGUCAACCGGGUCAAAACGACCUCCUGAUCUUUGGUGCCUCAUGACAACAUUCCAGCAGAUUUGAGAUAUUUCAUGUAGAAAGUAUUUUUAUACCCUUGAAGUAUAUUCUGAAGUCUUUCAAUUGUCAGGGAGUGCUUGGUGAACAUGGAAUACAUGAUGUGUACAUUACAUGAUUCUCACUGAUCAUAUAAAGCAAGGUACAGAUCAGGGGCAAUUACUCUAACGUGGGUUAUUUUGUACUUCUCGUGUUUGUAGAGGGUUGAGGCUUUCUGUGCCAUUCAUUGGAUUGUCAACGGGAAAUGUGGCUUGGGGCUUAGCGACCAUGGUGUUCUGUGGAGGAAAGUUCUGGAGAAAAGGUUCCAUGUCAGUACUGUUUUCCUUAAAUAUGUUUAUGGUUUGGUUUAAGGGAAUUGUUUGACUUUCAAGAUUAUUUAAGGGAAUCAUCCAAAUCUUGAAUCUGUGUGUUAUCAGGGUAUACUUCCGAGGAAGUAGUUCUGAUGGCUGGGUAUGUACUUCCAUCCAGGUUCCUCGGCUAAACUCAGCAGAGCCCCUGCUGUUGUCUAUACUAGUAUCACACAACAUCUACCUGGCUUGAUGCUAAUGUUUAGUCAGAGAUAUUUGACCUUAAUAAAGUGAUAUUGUAUGUAUUAUUUCCAAAUUAUGAUCUGUGUUUCAAACUUCUUGUUCACUAUACCUUCUGCACGUUACCUGCAAAAAUCAGAACUGUGUCGUCAUGGUGGUCUGUCAUUGAGACAAGUGCUUGAAAACAUUGUUACAUGAUUAGUAUUGAAUAUGUCCUGGAAUAACCCAUUUUUCAGCUUCACGUGAAACAAGUUCGAGUUUGCAAACACUAUGUCUUGACAGUGUGGUUGAGACAGGGUCUUACUUGUGUUCAAGGGACUUACAGGGUGAUGACACAUGUCAAACAUUGCUUCUGUAACCUGGCUCUGCACUCAGAUGUGUAUUGUCUCAUAAUCGGAUGCACCUCACGCAUACGGCAUAUCAUGAUGUACGUCACGCAUACGGCAUAUCAUGAUGCACGUCACGCAUACGGCAUAUCAUGAUGCACCUUGUACUCACAGGUUCUGUGUUUUUAUGUUAUUUUGUUUAUGGAGAAUGCGAUAUAUUAUUUUUUAUGCACUUAAAUCAACAGAAUUUGUCUUUUGUACCUAAGAAUUGAUUAUUGCAGUAUUUGUCUUGUUGGAUAUUUUGUUUGUUUAGAAUUUUCUUAGAAUUUUGUUAUUGUGCAAUCACUCCAUGUCUUGGAGUCUAGUUAAACCUAAGCACCGAAGACCAGAAGUUGUGGCCAUGCAGCCAGUGUCCAGGGCUAAACACCAGAAACAUGCUCCAGCUCAGUCUGGUUUACAACUGACCACUGGACAACAACCUCUGAGUUAACAAGCUUUCCCUGUCUAGUAAAAUUUAAUAAGGCCAGACCAAUUUUAUUUCGGAUUUUUGUCCUCAGAAAACCUAAAGGCAGGAGCGAAAAGAAAGAAGAAAAUCACCAGUCAAACGAAAACCCACAUGAGUUUUUUUAAAGGCAUUGUCUUUCAAGUUCACACUCACUUAGGUGCUCGAGGCACUGAUUUCUAACACAAAUAUUGUUAGAUAAUCCAGGUUAAAGUCUCUGAAAAUAAAAUACCGGUGUUUUAGUGUCCAACAAACUGCCUUGCAUAGUCAAGUCGCACUCCAGUAUAUCUUAACAUUCGAUUUUAUUUUUUUUGAGUGGGGAAUUUUUUUUUCUUUCUUCUCAUUCUUGAAAAAAUACAACUGGCGGAUCAGUUAAGCAAUCAAUAAAAUUGGUCUGGCCUAAACAAUACAGGGACUCAAACUAACUGACAAAACCGUUUUGAUUUCUGCCGCACCUGGUAUCGUCAUGUGUAAAUGAAAUAAAAUUAAUUUUAAUGCCA